GGCGGAUAUUUUAUUUUGAUUGAACCUUUAUCUAGGCAAGUCAGUUGAGAACAAAUUCUUAUUUACAAUGGCGGCCUACCAAAAGGCAGAAAGGCCUGAGGGGCCUGGGAUUAAAAAUAAAAAUAUCUUUUAUGGUUUUAUUUGGUAAAUCAAGUGAGGUUGGUUCCAUAAAACAUAUAUAUAUACAAAUUACACUUCAGAGGUUAAUGUUUGUGACUAUAUAAAGCACAUUACAUUUGCAUAUCAGUCAACACAUUGACAGACCGGUCUUGGGGAUUUAACCAGAAGCUAACUAAAUGCUAUUGUCGGUACAUAGAUUACAAUAGAGUUCUAACCAUUAGACUACGUGUAUGUGCCUGGUUACCCAGGAACCGAACAGAAGGGACCAGGGGAAAAACAAACACAGAUCAUUAUGUUCCUGAAGUGCUUUUAUCUUUACACUGAGCAGCAGUUUUUCCAGGUCACUGGGUAGUUGUGUUGGGAACAUCACAGAGAGAGAACCCAGGCAACAGAUUUCUGCUGCCUGUCUCUCUCUAGCUCUGAACCAGGCAACAGAUUUCUGCCUGGCAACCAGCCAGUAUCAGGAGAAAAGGGGAACAUCUUGUCCCUUCAGUGGUGCUGCACAGAGAAGAACAGGCUGCGGACAAGUUAUGAAACGAAGAAAGGUUGUGAGGGGGGAAAUUAAUAAAAGAAAGAGGAGAGUAGGGGCAGAGGGGGGUAUAACUGGACUGUGUGUUUGAUUGAAUUCACAUCGUAUACCAAUGUAUGGAAUAAUAUACAAAGGGGGGUCUUUUCAAUCCAUAUCGAGGAAGUUCAGCGUUACGGCGUGAUUUACAUUUUAAAAGGCGAUGUUCACGGUAAAACGCUGAAAUAUGUCGGCUCAAUCAGAAAUGGCCUUUAAGUUUCGAUAGUGUGCGAUCUGUAACGCUUCGGCGAAUAGAGGUUGAAUAAAGGCUGACGUCUGUUUUAGAGAGCGCUUGCAGAAAUCGCUUAUUUUUUCUUUCUUCUCACCCUUCUGCCUUCAACGAAAUAGGAGUCAGGGUAGGAUAGGAAGUGACGCAAAAUGUAAAACAGGUCCAACAGCGACUGGCUUGAUCAAGUCCAUAUUUCUGUGCUGAGAGGACAGACAGAGUGGAAGGUGUCUUCUCUCUCUUGUCUUUCUUUUGGAGUCUUUUCCCUUUGUGUGUUUCAACCUGUUGAUUGGUGGUGGUGUGUCUCUACUGGACCGCUCUGUUGGCUGGGGGUGCCGGGUGAGGGUGGGCUGGAGGGGUGGUGGUGUGUCUCUACUGGACCGCUCUGUUGGCUGGGGGUGCCGGGUGAGGGUGGGCUGGAGGGGUGGUGGGCUGGGGCGCUGGACCGGGGUGCUGGACUGGGGGCGCCGGGUGAGGGUGGGCUGGAGGGGUGGUGGGCUGGGGCGCUGGACCGGGGUGCUGGACUGGGGGCGCUGGGUGAGGGUGGGCUGGAGGGGUGGUGGGCUGGGGGCGCUGGACGGGAAGGUGCGUGGUUUGGGGCUCCCCAGAACCACACUGACCCACCAUCCUUUAGAUAUCCCCC
ensembl:lncRNA